AGAGUUUGAUCCUGGCUCAGAACGAACGCUGGCGGCAUGCCUAACACAUGCAAGUCGAACGAACCCUUCGGGGUUAGUGGCGCACGGGUGCGUAACGCGUGGGAACCUGCCUUUAGGUUCGGAAUAACUCAGAGAAAUUUGAGCUAAUACCGGAUAAUGUCUUCGGACCAAAGAUUUAUUGCCUUUAGAUGGGCCCGCGUUGGAUUAGCUAGUUGGUAGGGUAAAAGCCUACCAAGGCGACGAUCCAUAGCUGGUCUGAGAGGAUGAUCAGCCACACUGGGACUGAGACACGGCCCAGACUCCUACGGGAGGCAGCAGUGGGGAAUAUUGGACAAUGGGCGAAAGCCUGAUCCAGCAAUGCCGCGUGAGUGAUGAAGGCCUUAGGGUUGUAAAGCUCUUUUACUAGGGAUGAUAAUGACGGUACCUAGAGAAUAAGCUCCGGCUAACUCCGUGCCAGCAGCCGCGGUAAUACGGAGGGAGCUAGCGUUGUUCGGAAUUACUGGGCGUAAA
rnacentral:rRNA from 1 species